rnacentral:rRNA from 1 species
GCAGCAGCCGCGGUAAUACGUAGGGUGCAAGCGUUAAUCGGAAUUACUGGGCGUAAAGCGUGCGCAGGCGGUUAUAUAAGACAGAUGUGAAAUCCCCGGGCUCAACCUGGGAACUGCAUUUGUGACUGUAUAGCUAGAGUACGGCAGAGGGGGAUGGAAUUCCGCGUGUAGCAGUGAAAUGCGUAGAUAUGCGGAGGAACACCGAUGGCGAAGGCAAUCCCCUGGGCCUGUACUGACGCUCAUGCACGAAAGCGUGGGGAGCAAACAGGAUUAGAUACCCCAGUAGUCCCUGUCUCUUAUA